GGUGAACGCUGGCGGCAGGCCUAACACAUGCAAGUCGAGCGGAUGAGUGGAGCUUGCUCCAUGAUUCAGCGGCGGACGGGUGAGUAAUGCCUAGGAAUCUGCCUGGUAGUGGGGGACAACGUUUCGAAAGGAACGCUAAUACCGCAUACGUCCUACGGGAGAAAGCAGGGGACCUUCGGGCCUUGCGCUAUCAGAUGAGCCUAGGUCGGAUUAGCUAGUAGGUGAGGUAAUGGCUCACCUAGGCGACGAUCCGUAACUGGUCUGAGAGGAUGAUCUGUCACACUGGAACUGAGACACGGUCCAGACUCCUACGGGAGGCAGCAGUGGGGAAUAUUGGACAAUGGGCGAAAGCCUGAUCCAGCCAUGCCGCGUGUGUGAAGAAGGUCUUCGGAUUGUAAAGCACUUUAAGUUGGGAGGAAGGGCAGUAAGUUAAUACCUUGCUGUUUUGACGUUACCAACAGAAUAAGCACCGGCUAACUUCGUGCCAGCCGCCGCCGUAACAC
rnacentral:rRNA from 1 species